AGAAAAAAGGAAAAAGCUGGAGGAGCUGCAGCAGCUGCUGCACUUUCACUCAUGGCCCGCCCGCUGGUUCGGUGCGCGACGCUCGCAACAUGUUGAAAGCGAACGUUUGGCGAGCCGAAGCGCCCAGCCGAGCGGCGCGUCGUUUGUGGCUCGUCGGAAGAGACGAACCGCUGCCGCUUGUCAGUUGCGUAGCAAACGUCUAGCGUGAAGGUUUAGCAGCAGCGACUAAAGCGAGCCCAAAUAGCAGAGCCGCCGGCAGUAGCAGCAGCAGCUAACUAGCAGCAGCAGCAGCAGUAGCAGCAACAAUAGUAGUAGAAACAACAGCAGCAGCAGCAGCAGCACGUGCAACCAACAGCAGCAACUGCUGCAAGCAACAACCAACAUCAAACACAUAACAACAACCGACAACAACAACAACAACGCGCUCGUGUCUAAAGUCGAGUGUUUUACCAUUUCUAGCCGCCGUUCGACUACUAUAUGUUUUGCGCGACUUUUUUUGCUUAUCAAAUUCCACAGAAAUAUACCGAAAA